rnacentral:rRNA from 1 species
CCCCGUGAGUGAAAAAAGGGUUUUCGGCUUCGUAAAAGCUUCUGUUGUUAAAGGAAGAAACGGGGGUAAGGAGUAACUGUUUACCCCAGUGACCGGUAUUUAACCCAGAAAAGCCCCGGGCUAACUACGUGCCCAGCAGCCGCGGUAAAUACGUAGGUGGCAAGCGUUAUCCGGAUUUAUUGGGGCGUAAAGCGAGCGCAGGCGGUCUUUUAAGUCUAAUGUGAAAGCCUUUCGGCUCAACCGAAGAAGUGCAUUGGAAACUGGGAGACUUGAGUGCAGAAGAGGACAGUGGAACUCCAUGUGUAGCGGUGAAAUGCGUAGAUAUAUGGAAGAACACCAGUGGCGAAGGCGGCUGUCUGGUCUGCAACUGACGCUGAGGCUCGAAAGCAUGGGUAGCGAACAGGAUUAGAUACCCUGGUAGUCCAUGCCGUAAACGAUGAUUACUAAGUGUUGGAGGGUUUCCGCCCUUCAGUGCUGCAGCUAACGCAUUAAGUAAUCCGCCUGGGGAGUACGACCGCAAGGUUGAAACUCAAAAGAAUUGACGGGGGCCCGCACAAGCGGUGGAGCAUGUGGUUUAAUUCGAAGCUACGCGAAGAACCUUACCAGGUCUUGACAUCUUCUGACAGUCUAAGAGAUUAGAGGUUCCCUUCGGGGACAGAAUGACAGGUGGUGCAUGGUUGUCGUCAGCUCGUGUCGUGAGAUGUUGGGUUAAGUCCCGCAACGAGCGCAACCCUUAUUACUAGUUGCCAGCAUUAAGUUGGGCACUCUAGUGAGACUGCCGGUGACAAACCGGAGGAAGGUGGGGACGACGUCAAAUCAUCAUGCCCCUUAUGACCUGGGCUACACACGUGCUACAAUGGAUGGUACAACGAGUCGCGAGACCGCGAGGUUAAGCUAAUCUCUUAAAACCAUUCUCAGUUCGGACUGUAGGCUGCAACUCGCCUACACGAAGUCGGAAUCGCUAGUAAUCGCGGAUCAGCAUGCCGCGGUGAAUACGUUCCCGGGCCUUGUACACACCGCCCGUCACACCAUGAGAGUUUGUAACACCCAAAGCCGGUGGGGUAACCUUUUAGGAGCUAGCCGUCUAAGUGAACAGAGUUUGGG